CCUACGGGCGGCAGCAGUGAGGAAUAUUGGACAAUGGGCGCGAGCCUGAACCAGCCAAGUAGCGUGAAGGAUGACUGCCCUACGGGUUGUAAACUUCUUUUAUAAAGGAAUAAAGUGAGGCACGAGUGCCUUUUUGUAUGUACUUUAUGAAUAAGGAACGGCUAACUCCGCGCCAGCAGCCGCGGUAAUACGGAGGAUCCGAGCGUUAUCCGGAUUUAUUGGGUUUAAAGGGAGCGUAGAUGGGUUGUUAAGUCAGUUGUGAAAGUUUGCGGCUCAACCGUAAAAUUGCAAUUGAUACUGGCAGCCUUGAGUACAGUUGAGGUAGGCGGAAUUCGUGGUGUAGCGGUGAAAUGCUUAGAUAUCACGAAGAACCCCGAUUGCGAAGGCAGCUUACUAAACUGCCACUGACAUUGAUGCUCGAAAGUGUGGGGAGCAAACAGGAUUAGAUACCCUGGUAGUC
rnacentral:rRNA from 1 species